ACAGACAGCAGACGAACGCAGCGCAGUCUCCAAAGGCGGUGACGGUCUAGUAGGGUCUACUACUUCCAGAGUCCCAUGGUGCGGUGCAGUAUGAGAAUCCCCCUGAGAGAGACACUGCAGGGUGAGGUGGCGGUCUAGUAGGGUCUACUACUUCCAGAGUCCAGUGGUGCGGUGCAGUACGAGAAUCCCCCUGAGAGAUACACUGCAAGGUGACGGUCUAGUAGGGUCUACUACUUCCAGACUCCAGUGGUGCGGUGCAGUACGAGAAUCCCCCUGAGAGAGACACUGCAAGGUCUACUACCUCCAGAGUCUAGUGGUGUGGGACUGCGGUUUUGAGAGACAGGUGUACACAGCUCUGCUCUAACUGCAUUAUGUCACGGAAGAUGUACAGAAAACUAGAAGACACAAAAUGAAGAUCUGACUGACUGGAUCCAAAACUAAGGAACCAAAGGGAGAGCCCUCAAACAGACCUGGCUCUCUCCCUAACUGCUCAGC